CACGCCUGAGGGGCGGGACUUCGCGGGGCGGCUUCCCCACGUGACCUCUGGCUGGUCGGACGUUGGUGAGGCUGGGGACUCCCAGGCCGCCUACUGAACUUGUUAUGAGUCAGCCUGAUGCGUUAGCCUUCCUCGCCCUUCGUCCCUUCACGACCAGACCCAGAAACCAGAGCUCCACGACCUAGAGACUCUUGUGGCUGGAGAUCCUGUGACCUUGACCUGUACCAUCAAAGGCACCUGUGCAGAGAAACCAAAGCCCUUUUCCUUUCCUGGAAUUGGCCCACUCUGUCCUCCAACACAGACGGCUCCAGCAACUCCUCCUCCUGGUGCCGCACUUCACCCCAAAGCCUCAGGAUUAUGGCACCACUCUCAGAUGUUAUUUGAACUUCUCUCUAGCUAAGUUGACCAGAAGUAGCAUGGUCAUGUUCCAGGCGGUCUCACCCACUAGGCUGCUCUAUUCAUCUUGCUCCUUGGAG